rnacentral:rRNA from 1 species
GGCCUCCCGCCUCCCAUUAAACUUUUGUUUAUUCAAGGGAGGUCAUACCUGCACAAUGCCCUGCGGGGUCAAUUGCCGCGGUAGCCUGACCGUGCUAAGGUAGCGUAAUCAUUAGCCUAUUAAUUGUUGGCCUGUAUCAAUGGUCUUACGCUGGAGGCGCUGUCUCUCCAAUAUUUAUUUGAAUUUAACUUUAGGGUGAAAAGGCCCUGAUACAGCUGAAAGACGAUUAGACCCUAUCGAACUUUGGGCUAAUUGGGAACUUGGUCUGUUGACAGAGACUCCCUGCUAACCUUCAGUUGGGAAAACUGGGAACCAGGAAAAGCGUUCUCCUUUAUAGUCGCACAAGUUUGGGGCCUUGGCCGGCUUGUCUUAUGCAUGUUGGUUGGGGUUCCACUUUCAGAUAAUUACCUACGGGAAUAUAACUGCAUUAUUAAAGUUGAGAUUGACAACAACAAAUUUAAGUAACCUCACUAUCCUCAGCAGCUUGAUAACAAGUAGACUGAGCAAAAGGAAGAGUUACCGUAGGGAUAACAGCGUAAUCCCUCUGGAGAGACCACAUUAAAGGAGGGGCUUGCGACCUCGAUGUUGGCUUAGGGCUUCCUGAAGGCGAAGAGGCUUUUAAGGGUUGGUCUGUUCGACCAUUAAAGCCUUACGU